AGUUCACAUACUAUUUAGUGAAGUAAACAAUAUGCAUCGUUCAAACGGAUGAAUAAAUCAUGGGAAGAAAACUUGCAGUGAGCUCAUGCGUCCAAUAACUUUGAUGAUAUAAUGUACCAUGUGGCUUAGUAACUAUUUUAAUAUUUUAUAACGCAACAUGACAUCAGUUUUGCAAGCUUGUUCAAAACAGAUAAUAUUAAACUGCUCAACUGUUCAGUUAAUAUUGAUCCCUUGUCUAGCCUCAACGCAAAGUACAGUGAAACCAAUGGAGCAAAUAUAGUCUGUACACAAAAUCCGAAUUCUUAUUGAAAUUAUGAGUAACAUGAUUACUUGACCGUGCAUAGUCUCAAUCAUAACCCGCCACAUCAAGGACAAUACUAUAUAUGUACAACGCCGUUGAUGUGUGACGUCAUACCCGUAACCGGCGUAUAUAAACAUUGUCGUGUUCACUCACCUGAGUACACAGAAGGGCGUUGGUUGGUUCAUGGAUCGUAUAUGCAUAAAUAUGGGGUUUACAAGAGACGUAGACCAUGGUUAUGCUUGGGUGGCCCUGGCAGCGUCGUUCAGCAUCCAUUUUACAAUUGGACUAAUGGGAUAUAGCUUUGGAGUGAUAAAUAUCGCUAUAAUGGAAGAAAUAGAAGAUGACAUAACAAAAACGUCUUGGAUUGGUUCUACGUUAUUUGGGACUACUUCUCUAAGUGGCCCUGUUGCUGGUAUGGUUCAUCAGAAAC